rnacentral:SRP_RNA from 1 species
CGCGGCUCCCCGCGCGGCGGUACCUUGCCCAACUCCCCCAGGGCCGGAAGGCAGCAAGGGUAAGCAAGCUCUACCGGGUGCGCGGGGAGUCCUUUCGU